rnacentral:rRNA from 1 species
UACGGGGGGGGCAAGCGUUGUUCGGAAUUACUGGGCGUAAAGGGCUCGUAGGUGGCCAACUAAGUCGGACGUGAAAUCCCUCAGCUUAACCGGGGAACUGCGUCUGAUACUGGUUGGCUUGAGUUUGGGAGAGGGACGCGGAAUUCCAGGUGUAGCGGUGAAAUGCGUAGAUAUCUGGAGGAACACCGGUGGCGAAGGCGGCGUCCUGGACCAAUACUGACACUGAGGAGCGAAAGCCAGGGGAGCAAACGGG